AAAUGAAUUGACGGGGACCCGCACAAGCAGCGGAGCAUGUGGUUUAAUUCGAAGCAACGCGAAGAACCUUACCAGGGCUUGACAUGCCCCUGACCAUCCUAGAGAUAGGAUUUUCCCUUCGGGGACAGGGGACACAGGUGGUGCAUGGUUGUCGUCAGCUCGUGUCGUGAGAUGUUGGGUUAAGUCCCGCAACGAGCGCAACCCCUGUUUUUAGUUGCUAACAGAUAAUGCUGAGCACUCUAAAGAGACUGCCGAUGAUAAAUCGGAGGAAGGUGGGGAUGACGUCAAAUCAUCAUGCCCUUUAUGUCCUGGGCUACACACGUGCUACAAUGGUCGGUACAACGAGGAGCAACACAGCGAUGUGAAGCAAAUCUCUAAAAGCCGAUCUCAGUUCGGAUUACAGGCUGCAAUUCGCCUGUAUGAAGCCGGAGUUGCUAGUAAUCGCGAAUCAGAAUGUCGCGGUGAAUGCGUUCCCGGGUCUUGCACACACCGCCCGU
rnacentral:rRNA from 1 species